CUAUGGCAACGUUUUCGUAAGUAGGUGUAUAUCGGCAUUGUAAACAUGCUGUGACGUCAUUAUGCACUUCCGCGUGCAUGCACGUUCUGAUGUGAUAAGACGAGUGGGGACUGGUACUGGACAAACAAAAAUGGCGGAUAUUAACCCUCGUUCAGCUGCUAUGGAGCUUUCCCAUUUGCUCGCUGAAUUUCUCAUUCGUUCAGAAGUAACCAAUUCUUACACUCUAGAUGAAUUUAGAGAAGCUUUUCCGCAAAGACACAGAGGUCAUAAGGAAGUCAAGCUAUUGUAUAAAGCUUUUCAAAUGAAACGGAUGAAGCUACGACAGGCUGUUAGAAGAAAUGUAUCGCUACAUUGUGUCCAAAGAAGCACAGCUGUUGCACAGAUUACUUGUUCCAAUGAAAAUACACCACAAAGGAAGAAUUCAGAGAAAGACCAAGAGCAAAUUUACUUGGAAAAGAAAUUGAUAUUAUUAAACAAGGACACAAGGGAAGCUGAAAAACAGUUCUUAAGGUAUUACAAAAUGUGCUACACUGUUUAAAGAAAAAGAGUUUUUAACACAUGGGAGUGCCAAAUAAUUUUGGAGCAAGAUAUCCAAGUGAUGGCAAGUGUGAUGGAGAAAUUUGACCACUAACAGCUGAGCGUCCACGUGUUCCAGUCAGAUUAGGAAAUCUCUACAAUGAUAAUAGAUUGUUAGUACUUAUU